rnacentral:rRNA from 1 species
GACGAACGCUGGCGGCGUGCUUAACACAUGCAAGUCGAGCGGUAAGGCCCUUUCGGGGGUACACGAGCGGCGAACGGGUGAGUAACACGUGGGUGACCUGCCUUUAGCUCUGGGAUAAGCCUGGGAAACCGGGUCUAAUACCGGAUAUGACUCCGCGGCGCAUGUUGUGGGGUGGAAAGCCUUGUGCGGCUGGAGAUGGGCCCGCGGCCUAUCAGCUUGUUGGUGGGGUGAUGGCCUACCAAGGCGACGACGGGUAGCCGGCCUGAGAGGGCGACCGGCCACACUGGGACUGAGACACGGCCCAGACUCCUACGGGAGGCAGCAGUGGGGAAUCUUGCGCAAUGGGCGAAAGCCUGACGCAGCGACGCCGCGUGAGGGAUGACGGUCUUCGGGUUGUAAACCUCUUU